rnacentral:SRP_RNA from 1 species
CCCAGGUCCCGAAGGGCGCCCGCCCACUAACUCCGUCAGGACCCCGAAGGUAGCAGCGGCGUGUGGUGUCGAUCGUUGCUUCGUCAGGCCUGGGGCA